rnacentral:snoRNA from 1 species
AAACCAUGAUGGGGACACUCUAAGAGAAGAUCCUUAAAACGUUCCAUACACCUAGAAAAUGAUUCAUUUGGUUUUUGACGAAACUGAAGAAUGUCAUUCCUAAGUUU